UGGUGCAGUCAAAUUUGAAGGGUACACU
rnacentral:piRNA from 1 species